UAACACGUAUGGGGCGAGCGUUGUUCGGAAUUAUUGGGCGUAAAGGGCGUGUAGGCGGUUUCAUAAGCCUGGUGUUAAAGGCGCUGGCUCAACCAGUGUUGUGCGCUGGGAACUGUGGGACUUGAGUUCAGGAGAGGAGGCUGGAAUUCCUGGUGUAGGGGUGAAAUCUGUAGAUAUCAGGAAGAACACCGGUGGCGAAGGCGAGCUUCUAGCCAUGGACUGACGCUGAGGCGCGAAAGCGUGGGGAGCGAACAGGAUUAGAUACCCUGGUAGUCCACGCUGUAAACGAUGUGCACUAGGCGUUGGGUGUGUUGAGCAGUCAGUGCCGUAGCGAACGCGUUAAGUGCACCGCCUGGGGAGUAUGCCCGCAAGGGUG
rnacentral:rRNA from 1 species